rnacentral:misc_RNA from 1 species
GUUUUGAAAUUUUUGCUGCUUAAAAUUUCUAUCAAAUUAAUGUUCAAUUCAAUGCAGUAGUGGAGCCUUUCUAGUUGUUUGUAAUGUAAUUACCUCAUUAGCACGUUUGGUAUCGAUAUUUUCCCCCCUCAGAGGCUACCCUGAUCUUUUACUACUAGAAUUAGUUUCUGUAUAGCGCUAGAGAUCUAUCUUUUCUGUUCCUUGUAGUUCAAACUAAAGCUGUAUGUUAGGAGUAGUAUCAGAGAGCCAGUGGUCUGAAUGUUGAUGUAUGUAAAACAGUUGGUAUUUUUUCUAUAUUGUUGGCUGUGCUGUGGUUGUGCCACUUUGAAAAGGUAGAAUGAAAGCUGGCCUAUGUUUUGUGGCCUUACUGGAUGGUUUCUUUGUUUCAAUUUUGCAGAGGAUGAUGCAGAUGA